GAAGAAGCUGCAACAUAGCUCUCAGCAGCAAGAAAAACCAUAUACAUGGAAAACUUCUCAAAAAUGAGACUUCUUUGAUAACUCAAAGACUGCAUGAUACUUUCGAGAUAAAAAAAGGAAGCAAAUGCAAGGAAGCCACUGCUGCCACGCAUGGGGCAAAAUCCCACCCCGUUGGGCAAGCUAGCAAGGUCGUAUCAUGACACCACCUCUGACAUGCUACUUAAAGAAAAUCCAGGUCUGUCGCCGCACUCAAAUUUUGGCACAGCAAAAUCCAGAUUAGCUAGCAACAUAGCCUAGCGAGGCCGCUGACAGUGGAAGCGAAGAAGGAAAAUGGUGCCAGGAAGAAUCAAGCAAUCAUCAGAAGAACAAAAAGGCGUCAGGCGGCACUGAAAGAAUGUCAGCCUUUCAAUCAGAGCCACCCCACCCCCUGCAAAUGCCUUAAGGAAUGAGGCUAUAUCAUGAUGGGCAUUCGAGCAAUAGUAGAAGAGAAAAAUCAGUCACCCCAGAUUAAGAUCCUAAGGAACGGUGGACUUCUUGCAGAAUCUUUAGACCUUGAAAUCCACUCCCUCUUCCAUCAAACUGAGCUACGAUGACAUUAUCAGAGUUGACAAGCACAGAAUCCCAGUCAAUGUGAAACUUAUCUGUAAC